GUGAGGAAUAUUGGUCAAUGGCCGAGAGGCUGAACCAGCCAUGCCGCGUGCGGGAUGACGGCCCUAUGGGUUGUAAACCGCUUUUGUUGGGGAGCAAUAAGGUUCACGUGUGGACUGAUGAGAGUACCCAGCGAAUAAGCAUCGGCUAACUCCGUGCCAGCAGCCGCGGUAAUACGGAGGAUGCAAGCGUUAUCCGGAUUUAUUGGGUUUAAAGGGUGCGUAGGCGGAUGAUUAAGCGUGAGGUGAAAGCUCGGGGCUCAACCCCGGAACUGCCUCGCGAACUGGUUGUCUUGAAUGUCCGUGCCGUGGGAGGAAUGUGUGGUGUAGCGGUGAAAUGCAUAGAGAUCACACAGAACACCGAUUGCGAAGGCAUCUCACGAACGGAUGAUUGACGCUGAGGCACGAAAGCGUGGGGAUCAAACAGG
rnacentral:rRNA from 1 species